rnacentral:lncRNA from 1 species
UACAUAGGCCCCCCAACAACAUUGAAAUUUCAGUUUAGCAGCUCAGAAUCUGAUACUUUUCGCCGGAGCCCUUCUGAAUGUCCGUUUUCUCUCAAAUGUGACAGUCAGUCUCGGUUUAAGCUAAUAAAAUGAAAAAUAUCUUAACUUUUCAGUUUCGACCAUCUUUGGUAACCGAAAGCUCUACUGAACUGAAAUCUCUAGCAGAUAGCAGUCGGAUUUUAUUUUCCACUUUCCGAGUGUCGGAAUGACAUGAAACUUUAAAUCUAGCCUCAUAAAAAUAAUCCCGACAUAUUCUCAAGUUUUCAUAAUUUUUUGACACUGUGAAUUUUCUACUAAAAUAUCAGCUCCGUUUCUCACAGAAAAUUCUAAAUUUUCUAUUUCCGUUCCGAUUUCAGCAUAAGUCGUUUCCGACUUGUAUUUUACUUCUCUAAGUCAAAUAAAAAUAGUAGCUCACACUACUUUUAUUUAUAUUUACUUUUAUACUAAAAAUCCGGUAUAUUACACAUCUUGCACACGCGAAGCGUCCAACAAAGUUGUAGUAAAC